ensembl:lncRNA novel transcript
GGGCCAUAUGGCCAUUUUCACGAUAUUGAUUCUUCCUAACCAUGAGCAAGGAAUGUUUUUCCAUUUGUUUGUGUCUUCUCUUAUUUCCUUGAGCACUAGUUUGUAGUUCUCCUUGAAGAGGUCUUUGACAUCCCUUGUAAGUUGUAUUCCUAGGUAUUUUAUUCUCUUUAUAGCAAUUGUGAAUGGGAGUUCACUCAUGAAUUGGUUCUCUGUCUGUUAUUGGUUUAUAGGAAUGCUUGUGAUUUUUGCACAUUGAUUUUGUAUCCUGAGACUUUGCUGAAGUUGCUUAUCGGCUUAAGGAAAUUUUGGGCUGAGACGAUGGAGUUUUCUAAAUGUACAAUCAUGUCAUCUGCAAACAGAGACAAUUUGACUUCCUGUCUUCCUAUUUGAAUACCCUUUAUUUCUUUCUCUUGCCUGAUUGCCCUGGCCAGAACUUCUAACCCUAUGUUGAAUAGGAGUGGUGAGAGAGGGCAUCCUUGUCUUGUGCUGGUUUUCAAAGGGAGUGCUUCCAGCAUUUGCCCAUUCAGUAUGAUAUUGGCUGUGGGUUUGUCAUAAAUAGCUCUUAUUAUUUUGAGAUAUGUUCCAUCAAUACCUAGUUUAUUGAGAGUUUUUAGCAUGAAGGGGUGUUGAAUUUUAUUGAAGGCUUUUUCUGCAUCUAUUGAGAUAAUCAUGUGGUUUUUGUCAUUGGUUCUGUUUAUGUGAUGGAUUACGUUUAUUGAUUUUCGUAUGUUGAACCAGCCUUGCAUCCCAGUGAUGAGCUGACUUGAUCGUGGUAGAUAAGCUUUUUGAUGUGCUGCUGGAUUUGGUUUGCCAGUAUUUUAUUGAGGAUUUUUGCAUCGUUGUUCAUCAGGGAUAUUGGCCUGAAAUUUUCUUUUUUUUGUUGUGUCUCUGCCAGGUUUUGGUAUCAGGAUGAUGCUGGCCUCAUAAAAUCAGUUAGAGAAGAGUCCCUCUUUUUCUGUUGUUUGGAAUAGUUUCAGAAGGAAUGGUACCAGUUCCUCUUUAUACCUCUGGUAGAAUUUGGCUGUGAAUCUGUCUGGUCCUGGCCUUUUUUUGGUUAGUAGGCUAUUAAUUACUGCCUCAAUUUCAGAACUUGUUAUUGGUCUAUUCAGGGAUUUGACUUCUUCCUGGUUUAGUCUUGUGGGGGUGUAUGUGUCCAGGAAUUUAUCCAUUUCUUCUAGAUUUUCUAGUUUAUUUGCAUAGAGGUGUUUAUAGUAUUCUCUGAAGGUAGUUUGUAUUUCUGUGGGAUCAGUGGUGAUAUCCCUUUUAUCAUUUUUUAUUGUGUCUAUUUGAUUCUUUUCUCUUUUCUUCUUUAUUAGUCUUGCUAGCGGUCUAUUUUGUUAAUCUUUUCAACACACCAGCUCCUGGAUUCAUUGAUUUUUUGAAGGGUUUUUGUGUCUCUUAUCUUCUUCAGUUCUGCUCUGAUCUUAGUUAUUUCUUGUCUUCUGCUAGCUUUUGAAUUUGUUUGUUCUUGCUUCUCUAGUUCUUUUAAUUGUGAUGUUAAAGUAUCAAUUUUAGAUCUUUCCCACUUUCUCUUGUGGGCAUUUAGUGCUAUAAAUUUCCCUCUAAACACUGCUUUUGCUGUGUCCCAGAGACCCUGGUACGUUGUGUCUUUGUUCUCAUUGCAGGGACAUGGAUGAAGCUGGAAGCCAUCAUUCUCGGCAAACUGACACAGGAACAGAAAACCAAACACCGCAUGUUCUCACUCAUGGUUCCAAGGUCAUUGCAAAAGAAGAUGCAAAGAGGAUGGAAAAUUGAAGGUUCCUAUGCCUCAGAAGGCCAUGAGGAAGGACUCUGGAAGAUGUCUGAAUACUAGAAACCCCGAGAGCCAGAAGAAUGCAUUCGUCUGUGGUUCAAGCUAAGUAUGGGUAGUGCCAAGAUGGUUUCUGAUUUGGUCUCCACCACAUACAGUGAUUCCAAAGGGGGGUAAGACAUCCUUCCUCCUGCCCCAGUGUCAGCCCUUUGCAGUCUAUCUCGGUCUGCUUUUCAAGUACCCCUAAUAUCUUGGCACUUCCUCAUGGUGAAAAGUCUCCUUCCUCCCCUUCCUGAACCCAUCCAUGUGCCCAAUGCCCAAAGGACAUUUGGAGGGAUGCACUUAAAAUCAAAUUCGUCCACUGUCUAUUUGUUGAGAUAAGGUGUGGUGACAACAGCAGUCCAAGGGGACUACUAGCAGCCUCAGAAUCCAGCCACCCAGCCCUAGCCUUGUCAGGGCCACUCCUGGGCUGGGCACACUUGUAGGUGGGGAGGGAAGGGCAGCAUUGUCAGAGAAGACAGACCAAGCUGCAGCUGCCCUACUGGGAGGCUGGGAGGCCUGAAUAGCUUCACAGCGCUGGGCCCUGCUUGCUGAAUGGGGGCUUGGCUCCUCCCUGGCGGUGGUCCGGAAUGGAUGACAUUUUCAUUGCAAGCUAACAAGGGGAGAAAUCCAAUUACUUCACAAAGAGGCUCCUGAAGGGGCCUCACAGCCUGGAGAAAGAAGGGGAGGAGAAGAGGGGGAGAGGGAAGGAAGAAGGGGAGUGUGUGUGUGUGUGUGUGUGUGUGUGUGUGUGUGUGUGUGUGUGUGUGUGUGUGUGUAGGGAGGCUCCCACCCAGACCAGGAAAGGAACAAAGCCCUCAGGCCUCCAGGACAUGGCCUCCUGCAUACAGGCAGGGAGAUUGGAACUGGGGGGCUUUUAAUUGAUUUCCAGUGGGUCAGAGGGUCUGCCUGGAAACUCCAGGUCCCUGAGAGCUCCAGGCAAUCAGGCUUCCUCCCUGUGGAACAACCUGAGUGGUGCAGAAGAGGCCCCAGCCCUAUUUCUCUGCCCCAUCAGACUACAGUUUCCCUGACCUGAGUCAUCAAAGGCCCAUUAUACACUUUUUUACCUUUGUUGCAUCCACCUAAACUAUUAAUCCCUUUUUGAAACAUUUAUUUAAAGUGUAUUAUUUAAGC